rnacentral:rRNA from 1 species
GAUGAACGCUGGCGGCGUGCCUAAUACAUGCAAGUCGAGCGAACAGACGAGGAGCUUGCUCCUCUGACGUUAGCGGCGGACGGGUGAGUAACACGUGGAUAACCUACCUAUAAGACUGGGAUAACUUCGGGAAACCGGAGCUAAUACCGGAUAAUAUAUUGAACCGCAUGGUUCAAUAGUGAAAGACGGUUUUGCUGUCACUUAUAGAUGGAUCCGCGCCGCAUUAGCUAGUUGGUAAGGUAACGGCUUACCAAGGCAACGAUGCGUAGCCGACCUGAGAGGGUGAUCGGCCACACUGGAACUGAGACACGGUCCAGACUCCUACGGGAGGCAGCAGUAGGGAAUCUUCCGCAAUGGGCGAAAGCCUGACAGAGCAACGCCGCGUGAGUGAUGAAGUUCUUCGGAUCUUAAAACUCUGUUAUUAGGGAAGAACAAAUGUGUAAGUAACUAUGCACGUCUUGACGGUACCUAAUCAGAAAGCCACGGCUAACUACGUG